rnacentral:rRNA from 1 species
GACGAACGCUGGCGGCGUGCUUAACACAUGCAAGUCGAACGAUGAAGAAAAGAAUUGAAGCUUCGGCAGAAAUUCAUUUCGGAUUAGUGGCAGACGGGUGAGUAACGCGUGAGCAACCUACCUCUUACAAAGGGAUAGCCUCGGGAAACCGGGAUUAAUACCAUAUAACAUUGCGACGAAGCAUUUCGAUGCAAUCAAAGCUACGGCGGUAAGAGAUGGGCUCGCGUCCCAUUAACCAGAUGGUGAGGUAACGGCUCACCAUAGUAACGAUGGGUAACCGGCCUGAGAGGGUGAACGGUCACACUGGAACUGAGACACGGUCCAGACUCCUACGGGAGGCAGCAGUGGGGAAUAUUGCACAAUGGAGGGAACUCUGAUGCAGCGACGCCGCGUGAGUGAUGAAAGAAUUCGUUUCGUAAAACUCUGUUCUAUGGGAAGAAAAGGACUGUACCAUAGGAGAAAGCUCCGGCUAAAUACGUG